rnacentral:rRNA from 1 species
GGUAAACGCUGGCGGCGUGCCUAAAACAUGCAAGUCGAACGGAUAGUCGCAAGAUUAUCAGUGGCAGACGGCUGAGUAACGCGUGGGUGACGUGCCGAUAGGUGGGGAAUAACUGCCCGAAAGGGUGGCUAAUACCGCAUACGUCCACUGAUUCGCUUUCAGUGGGGAAAGCUUCGCAAGAGGCGCCGAUAGAGCGGCCCGCGUCCGAUUAGCUGGUUGGUGGGGUAACGGCCACCAAGUCUGCGAUCAGUAACUGGUGUGAGAGCACGACCAGUCACACGGGCACUGAGACACGGGCCCGACUCCUACGGGAGGCAGCAGUAAGGAAUAUUGGUCAAUGGACGCAAGUCUGAACCAGCCAUGCCGCGUGGAGGAUUAAGGCCCUCUGGGUUGUAAACUCCUUUUAUCUGGGAAGAAAUGCAGAAAUUUCUUUUCUGCUUGACGGUACCAGA